rnacentral:rRNA from 1 species
AGCGUACACGGUGGAUGCCCUGGCAGUCAGAGGCGAUGAAGGACGUGCUAAUCUGCGAUAAGCGUCGGUGAGGUGAUAUGAACCGUUAUAACCGGCGAUUUCCGAAUGGGGAAACCCAGUGUGUUUCGACACACUAUCAUUAACUGAAUCCAUAGGUUAAUGAGGCGAACCGGGGGAACUGAAACAUCUAAGUACCCCGAGGAAAAGAAAUCAACCGAGAUUCCCCCAGUAGCGGCGAGCGAACGGGGAGGAGCCCAGAGCCUGAAUCAGUGUGUGUGUUAGUGGAAGCGUCUGGAAAGGCGCGCGAUACAGGGUGACAGCCCCGUACACAAAAAUGCACAUAUUGUGAGCUCGAUGAGUAGGGCGGGACACGUGGUAUCCUGUCUGAAUAUGGGGGGACCAUCCUCCAAGGCUAAAUACUCCUGACUGACCGAUAGUGAACCAGUACCGUGAGGGAAAGGCGAAAAGAACCCCGGCGAGGGGAGUGAAAAAGAACCUGAAACCGUGUACGUACAAGCAGUGGGAGCCUCUUAAUGGGGUGACUGCGUACCUUUUGUAUAAUGGGUCAGCGACUUAUAUUCUGUAGCAAGGUUAACCGAAUAGGGGAGCCGAAGGGAAACCGAGUCUUAACUGGGCGUUAAGUUGCAGGGUAUAGACCCGAAACCCGGUGAUCUAGCCAUGGGCAGGUUGAAGGUUGGGUAACACUAACUGGAGGACCGAACCGACUAAUGUUGAAAAAUUAGCGGAUGACUUGUGGCUGGGGGUGAAAGGCCAAUCAAACCGGGAGAUAGCUGGUUCUCCCCGAAAGCUAUUUAGGUAGCGCCUCGUGAAUUCAUCUCCGGGGGUAGAGCACUGUUUCGGCAAGGGGGUCAUCCCGACUUACCAACCCGAUGCAAACUGCGAAUACCGGAGAAUGUUAUCACGGGAGACACACGGCGGGUGCUAACGUCCGUCGUGAAGAGGGAAACAACCCAGACCGCCAGCUAAGGUCCCAAAGUCAUGGUUAAGUGGGAAACGAUGUGGGAAGGCCCAGACAGCCAGGAUGUUGGCUUAGAAGCAGCCAUCAUUUAAAGAAAGCGUAAUAGCUCACUGGUCGAGUCGGCCUGCGCGGAAGAUGUAACGGGGCUAAACCAUGCACCGAAGCUGCGGCAGCGACGCUUAUGCGUUGUUGGGUAGGGGAGCGUUCUGUAAGCCUGUGAAGGUGUGCUGUGAGGCAUGCUGGAGGUAUCAGAAGUGCGAAUGCUGACAUAAGUAACGAUAAAGCGGGUGAAAAGCCCGCUCGCCGGAAGACCAAGGGUUCCUGUCCAACGUUAAUCGGGGCAGGGUGAGUCGACCCCUAAGGCGAGGCCGAAAGGCGUAGUCGAUGGGAAACAGGUUAAUAUUCCUGUACUUGGUGUUACUGCGAAGGGGGGACGGAGAAGGCUAUGUUGGCCGGGCGACGGUUGUCCCGGUUUAAGCGUGUAGGCUGGUUUUCCAGGCAAAUCCGGAAAACCAAGGCUGAGGCGUGAUGACGAGGCACUACGGUGCUGAAGCAACAAAUGCCCUGCUUCCAGGAAAAGCCUCUAAGCAUCAGGUAACAUCAAAUCGUACCCCAAACCGACACAGGUGGUCAGGUAGAGAAUACCAAGGCGCUUGAGAGAACUCGGGUGAAGGAACUAGGCAAAAUGGUGCCGUAACUUCGGGAGAAGGCACGCUGAUAUGUAGGUGAAGCGACUUGCUCGUGGAGCUGAAAUCAGUCGAAGAUACCAGCUGGCUGCAACUGUUUAUUAAAAACACAGCACUGUGCAAACACGAAAGUGGACGUAUACGGUGUGACGCCUGCCCGGUGCCGGAAGGUUAAUUGAUGGGGUUAGCGGUAACGCGAAGCUCUUGAUCGAAGCCCCGGUAAACGGCGGCCGUAACUAUAACGGUCCUAAGGUAGCGAAAUUCCUUGUCGGGUAAGUUCCGACCUGCACGAAUGGCGUAAUGAUGGCCAGGCUGUCUCCACCCGAGACUCAGUGAAAUUGAACUCGCUGUGAAGAUGCAGUGUACCCGCGGCAAGACGGAAAGACCCCGUGAACCUUUACUAUAGCUUGACACUGAACAUUGAGCCUUGAUGUGUAGGAUAGGUGGGAGGCUUUGAAGUGUGGACGCCAGUCUGCAUGGAGCCGACCUUGAAAUACCACCCUUUAAUGUUUGAUGUUCUAACGUUGGCCCGUAAUCCGGGUUGCGGACAGUGUCUGGUGGGUAGUUUGACUGGGGCGGUCUCCUCCUAAAGAGUAACGGAGGAGCACGAAGGUUGGCUAAUCCUGGUCGGACAUCAGGAGGUUAGUGCAAUGGCAUAAGCCAGCUUGACUGCGAGCGUGACGGCGCGAGCAGGUGCGAAAGCAGGUCAUAGUGAUCCGGUGGUUCUGAAUGGAAGGGCCAUCGCUCAACGGAUAAAAGGUACUCCGGGGAUAACAGGCUGAUACCGCCCAAGAGUUCAUAUCGACGGCGGUGUUUGGCACCUCGAUGUCGGCUCAUCACAUCCUGGGGCUGAAGUAGGUCCCAAGGGUAUGGCUGUUCGCCAUUUAAAGUGGUACGCGAGCUGGGUUUAGAACGUCGUGAGACAGUUCGGUCCCUAUCUGCCGUGGGCGCUGGAGAACUGAGGGGGGCUGCUCCUAGUACGAGAGGACCGGAGUGGACGCAUCACUGGUGUUCGGGUUGUCAUGCCAAUGGCACUGCCCGGUAGCUAAAUGCGGAAGAGAUAAGUGCUGAAAGCAUCUAAGCACGAAACUUGCCCCGAGAUGAGUUCU